rnacentral:rRNA from 1 species
AAUAGAUACCCCGGUAGUCCACGCCGUAAACGAUGGAUACUAGCUGUUUGAGCGCGAAGUUUGAGUGGCUAAGCGAAAGUGAUAAGUAUCCCACCUGGGGAGUACGGGCGCAAGCCUGAAACUCAAAGGAAUUGACGGGGGCCCGCACAAGCGGUGGAGCAUGUGGUUUAAUUCGAUGAUACGCGAGGAACCUUACCAGGGCUUAAAUGUAGAUUGACGUAUUUGGAAACAGAUAUUUCUUCGGACAAUUUACAAGGUGCUGCAUGGUUGUCGUCAGCUCGUGCCGUGAGGUGUCAGGUUAAGUCCUAUAACGAGCGCAACCCCUGUUGUUAGUUGCCAGCGAGUAAUGUCGGGAACUCUAGCAAGACUGCCAGUGUAAACUGUGAGGAAGGUGGGGAUGACGUCAAAUCAUCACGGCCCUUACGUCCUGGGCCACACACGUGCUACAAUGGCCGGUACAGAGAGCAGCCACUUAGCGAUAAGGAGCGAAAUCUAUAAAAGCCGGUCACAGUUCGGAUCGGAGU